rnacentral:rRNA from 1 species
GAGUAGUAAUUUAUUUUUUAGAAAGUUAAAGGUUUUGGCGGUAUUUUAGUCUUUUUAGAGGAACUUGUCCUAUAAUUGAUAUUCCACGAUAAAUUUUACUUUUAUUAGAAGUUUACAUAUCGUCGUAGUUUGAAUAUUUUAUCAGAAUUUAAAUAUUCAAAAUUUAUUAUAUUAAUAAAAUUCAGAUCAAGGUGUAGUUUAUAUAAAAGGAGAGAUGAGUUACAAUAAAUUUAUUUAAAUGGAUUUAGAAUUGUAAGUUUUUAUGAAAGUGGAUUUAAAAGUAAUUUAAUUGAUUUUAA